GUCCACGCUGUAAACGAUGAGUGCUAGGUGUCGUGGGUAUUGACCCCCGCGGUGCCGUAGCUAACGCAUUAAGCACUCCGCCUGGGAAGUACGGUCGCAAGACUAAAACUCAAAGGAAUUGACGGGGGCCCCGCACAAGCGGUGGAGCAUGUGGUUUAAUUCGACGCAACGCGCAGAACCUUACCUGGGCUGGAAAGUGGAUGGAAUCCCGGUGAAAACCGGGGGUGCCCGCAAGGGAACCGUCUGACAGGUGCUGCAUGGCUGUCGU
rnacentral:rRNA from 1 species